rnacentral:sRNA from 15 species
AGGCCGUAGUGGUGGGGUGUGGCGGCAACUGAUGCUGAUUUGAAAAUCGAUUAUGAAACCGAUAAUCAAUUCUCAGCACCGUUGCCGCCGAAGUUUUAUCACAGAUUGUGAUAAUUUUGUAGUGGGGUGUCGGAGAACCGCACUAAUUACGAUAAUAACAAUGGGGGGGGAAGAAGGGGUUAAAGAAAUGAUAUCGAAAAUUCAGAAAGUGCAGUGUUGCAACACGUAGUCAAUUGAGGAAUAGAUAAAGAGAAAAGGUAAACAAUGCAUGUGCUUUGCGUGGAAAAUAAGUGGAAAUACACUAAAUAAAUAGAGACAAGCACUUGCAGUAAUAACAAUACAGGUAAGUAGUAGACUGGAGUGGAGACGACGGAAAAACAGGUAAUAAAAGAGAUACUACACUGGAACAAAGACGAGACAAUACAGCUACAGGGAAGACUAGAAGCAUCGGCCGGCAUAGCAAAACACAAUGCUUGUAAAGACAUUGCGUUGCAUACCGGCCGACCCCGUCGUCCCCCCUGGUCGUCGAGAUUGGCGUCAUCCAGAGUCGUCAGAGGUAGCUGCAAUUAGCACCUCGUCGUCGUUGUGGCUUUGGCUGCCCUCUUGGAGAACCAGUGGCACUGGUCCGGCCACCAGUUGGGAGCCAGGAGUAGACGGCACACAUAGUACUGUGGCGACACGGGUCCGGCCGCCAAAGUGAAGUGGAUGUGAGUGUGUGUGUGCGUCGGCAAUUGUGGCCCUAAUGUAGAGCAAGUGGCACUGUUCCGGCCACCAGCUGUGGGCAAUGGCAGACAACGACACACAUCUACUCGAACGGCACAGGUCCGGCCGCCCAAGUGUAAUGGGUGCUUGUGUGUGUGUGUGUCUGAGUGGCUGGCGGACCAUAGGGCACUCUGAAUGCCAUGGCACUGGAUCCGGCCACCAACUAAGGACGAUGGCGUUGGCAUAACUCGAACGGCACAGGUCCGGCCGCCCAAGUGUAAUGGAUGUGUGUGUGUGUGUGUAUAUUUCCUUUUCCAGGUCCAUAGGGCACUCUGAAUGCCAUGGCACUGGAUCCGGCCACCAACUAAGGACGAUGGCGAUGGCAUUUCUCGAGCGGCGCAGGUCCGGCCGCCCAAGUGCAAUGGAUGUUUGUGUGUGUGUGAGUCUGAAUGGCUGGCGUUAAGUAUUUUGAGAGCCCUUUUUAAUCGUAUUUGUGGCUGAUAAAUUUUUCCCAUUUCCAGGACCAUAGGGCACUCUGAAUGCCAUGGCACUGGAUCUGGCCACCAGCUCAGGGCAAAAGCAGACACCUCACACAAGAUUCGAGCGGCUCGAAGCCAGCCCCCGAUUUGGAUUGGAUGUAGUUGCGUGUGCUGGCUACAGCCCCCAUGAUUUGGGCGCUCACGUUCCCGCCAUCACCCCUCUCCUUUGACCUGAAGAGAGUGAGUGUGCGUGUGUGUGUCGCCAGCUGGAGUGGCGUCGAUCUCAUUCAGUCGUCUGAGGGACCCUGUAUCCUCAAUAGUGACGGAGGAAAUAUACAGAGGACCCCCAUUCGGCUAAUCGGAUACGGGAGUACACUCUCCAAUGGAUUGAUGGAAGGAUGGGCAGAUCUUCGGAGUGC